UACAGAGGUGGCAAGCGUUGUUCGGAAUUACUGGGCGUAAAGGGCGCGUAGGCGGCCAUCUAAGUCAGACGUGAAAUCCCCCGGCUUAACCUGGGAACUGCGUCUGAUACUGGACGGCUUGAGUAUGGGAGAGGGAUGUAGAAUUCCAGGUGUAGCGGUGAAAUGCGUAGAUAUUGGGAAGAACACCUGAGGCGAAGGCGGGAUGCUGGGCCGACACUGACGCUGAGGCGCGAAAGCCAGGGGAGCAAACGGG
rnacentral:rRNA from 1 species